UGCAUGAAGGUGACUUUCACUCAGCCCAGAGCUUCCUAACACGAUGCCUGGAGCAGGAUCCAGCUGUGGUAGAGCUUCACAUGCUGCAGGCCCAAAUUUACCUCUGCACAGUAGCCCUGGUUUCUAAAGAUGCCUCAAGUCCCUGGAGACUGGCGUCAGCCACAACAUCCAGUACCACCUGAACAAGACCAGAGCUCUGAAGGGGACAGGGUGUGUCUACGAGGGCAAACAGACCCUGAAACCAAUCAUGAGAAGGCCAGGGUUGACAAAAGGCCUGAAGAGGAAGUAGAACUCAAUGACCAGUGAUGCCAAUGCAUCCCUGUACCUGGAGUUGGACAGAGCUCUGCUUUUGAAUGGAGAGCAGCACAAGACCACAAAGGUAAUUCAGGAUGCAAUCCUGCCAGGACCCCUGAGGAGAUGUGAAUCACAAUUGCCAACACUGAUCUUUUGCUGGCUAAAAAUGACAUGAGCACAGCUCUAACUGCCUUAUAGAGCAUCACCCCUGACCAGCAGAACUAUAGAGAGGCCAAAGAAAAGACGUCACUAAUUUACCUGCAGAAGCAGAGAGACAAGCCUGCUAUAGGUGUGGAGUGGCCACAUCAACUAAAAACCACAUUUCAGUUUAAUUGCUUGACAUUUCAUGCAUUUCCACCACUGAAGAAAACAGUGAACCUUUGUUCUGUCCGUUAAGGUAUUUGAUUGGAAAACAGUAUCGAAAUUAUAUUAAUAAUCAAGUAAUCUGCUGAUUAAUUUGAAGAUUAAUUGAGUAAUUGGUUAUAUAAAAUGUGAUACAUACAUAUAUAAAAUAUAAUAUUUGUACACUGGCAUGAUGCAGGAACUACUCCUGGAUGGGAUGCCAGCCUAUGGCAGUGAACACACUGGCUCACUCACUCACACAUGUGGUCGAUUGAGGUACUGCAGUUCACUAAGGUGGUAUGUUUUUGGAGGAUCAGCAAUAAACCCAAGCACACACAGGGUGAAUAUACAAACUCCACAUGCACGAAGUGUACCCACAGGGCUACCCACUGCACCACGGUGCCACCCUCGACACUAGGUCGGCACGCUGACCGAUCUUAACAUUGACAUCAUACAUUAUGCACAUGCAGUUUAAACAUCACAAGGACAACGACAGCUGUAAUAGUGGUUACACUGAAACAUAUUUACUCUGCCAUAGGAAACAAAACUUAGCAAGCUUUGCAGUUUUACUGAUGGUUCCUUUCAAGGGCGUCGUUAGGUCAGAUCACUUGGGGCUAUAGCCUUGAGCAUUUUAAUCCUAUAGCCCCAAGUAUUUUAGCCUCGAUGCCAAUUAUCAUCCUUCAAAAAAAAAAAAAAAGUCAAGCCCCAGGUAAACUAGACUUAGCCCCUGAUCUUUUCAAUAGCUAGAAACUCCCCUGGUUCCUUUUCUGCAUUUCAGCAUUGUCUAGCAUACAGCAUAUGGACAGUAUUGGGACACCUGGCCAUCACACCCACAGGAACUUUUUAUUUGUAGGAGCCCUGCAUACAUUCUCCAAGCCAAUCAUAAUCAUUCUCAUCCAAGCGCUUUUAAUCCCUCACAGGAAAUUUUGUGCAUUUGUGAGAAAUAUAACAAAAAUGAGUGAAGAGGAAAAAAGCUAAAAGAAGAAGUCACAAAAAGAUAUUUGUCCUCCCAUUAGAGGGUGAGUCCCUCAGACCUUAAAGUCUUCUGAAUGUCUGCAUUUUCUUUCACUUUUAAUGUGAAGUGUUUCCACACAACUGAGGCUGUCACUCUUUUUUUGCACCCUCAUCUUCAAUGCUGUCUUCCGCCAUACUGCUUAGUAAUUGAGAAGGCAAAUUUUAAUUGAUACUUAAAAAAAAAAGAGUAAAUUAGAUUAAUCAAGGAAUCGUGACAGAUCUAAUUCAAACAAAAUAAAUGCCCUCGAGAUUUCAUUUUCUCUUUGCCUCCUUGUAUCUGCCGUUUAUCUGUUAUAUCCGAGUAAAUACCAUAAAACUCCACAGAUUAGGGAUAUUUGGCAUCUGUGGAAAUUGCGGCUUAUUGGAUCUAGAUCUCUCCCAGUGUGUCAUGUCCCACUCGUUCGAUCCUCCUGUGUGCCACACCCCCCUCUCUACCUCGUGUGGAAUCCCGUGUUCCCAGUGGUUCCUCGUCAUGUUAAUUACUGUUGUUACGUAUGUAAGUCUGUGUCUGCGUGUCGCGAGUAGUCCAGUCAUUGACAAUGUAAAGUUCUAAUGUCGA